AUGGAGGAAGAUCAAACAACUUUACGGCCGGUACCAGCACCACGACGUCUCUAUCCUGAACUACGUAAAUCUGAAUAUGAAAAUGUUAAAGUCGAAUUAAUUAAUAAGAAUCUAAAUAUCAAUUCCGAAAAUAUACAAAAUAAUGCGAAUAGUAAUGAAAAAGUUCCGAAUAAUAAAGUAUUUUUAUUGUAUCCCACAUUGCCUGAAGAUGUGGACAGAUUGUCCAUACAUUCCUUAACUACACAAAAAUCUAUACUAACCGAAACGAAUGAUUUGUAUGGACCAGAUGCUAAUGAAAAUGUGCCAAUAUAUAGUACACCCAGACCAGCACCUCGUCCACGUAAGCCACAAAAUACAGAUAUACAAAAUUAUGAAAAUACUGUAAUAACACCACCAGUAAUAGAGCCCGCAACAACGCAAUCAUCAUCGCCUGACACCUCAACUGGAGCAGUAAAUAAAACUUUACGUAAAGCUCCUGAAUUACCACCAAAAACCUAUUUAAAUUUUGAACGUGAUAAUGAGCGAAGACGUAGUAAUUAUUCCAUAUCAAGUGAAUUUUCCACCACCAGUAGUAUUCAUAAUACAUCAUCACCAUUCGAUGCAAAAGAUACUAAUUUUAAACGUGACAAAUUUAAUAAAUCCUAUGCAAGUUAUAAAUCAUCUAGUUCAUCUUUAGCCGAUUCCAUUGAAAGUUCGGAAAAUUCAAAAUAUAAAUCACCAUCACCUGGGUAUGUAAAGGAUCAUAAUGACACAGAUUAUCAUGAUGAUGCUGACGACAUUGAUGAUGAUGCUUUUAAUUAUGUUAAUACAAUUGAGGAUGAACGUAAUUUCACAACCUCUACUGACAAUGACCUCUUGAAAUCGUUGGGUACUACAUCAAAGCUAUUAACCGAAUCUAUAGGAGAACGUAUGGCCUUAAAAGCCAAGGGCGCCAAACAUAAAUUUGAUAAAAAUUUUAAAACCUCCUCUGAAGCUCUAACAAAUAUUGGCACUGAAACUACACAGCGUCUAAAGAAAUUGGGUUCGAAUUUUUCUUUAACUAAAAAUCGUAAUAAGGAAAAUAUGGCUACAGCACAAUUUAAUGUGGAUAGACCGCAAACAUUACCGCCAAACGAUCAAGUCUUCAAUGGCAUAACAUUUACCAGUCCUCUGAGUAAUAAAGCAAGAGGUAUGUAUGACUUAAGAUUACAAGAAUUGGAUAAUUCUUAUGAAGUACCAAAAAGUAUAAAAAUAACAAAAAGAAAUGAAGAGCUAGGCGAACCACCCUCAUAUGAAGAUGUUUUAAAAACGAAUACAGAGGAAAAACCAAACAUUAAAACCAAUCCCUUGGCUUUGGAAGCAGCAAAUAGGGUUUUACUCAAACAACAGCUGAAAAGUAAACUGUCAGAAGGUUUAACUACCAAUAGUUCUGAACGUAGUUCCAUUAAUUCUUUAGACCUACCCUCACCACCCAUGCCCACCAUACCAGCUCCUGCCUUGCCUAAGGAAUUUGAGGAUGAACCAGCAUAUGGCAAAAUAAAUCUCAUACAACCGCCGGCACGACAAAAAAGACGCAAAAAUUAUGAAGAAAUUGAACUCAGAAAGGGAUUACAAGCUAUUGAAAAUGAGGAGGAAUCAACGAAACCAUUACGCAUGAAUGUGGACUCUGCUGAACUGCAUGAAUUAAAUAAGGUGGCCGAAUUGCAAGAGCGUGAAGAAUCUUUAAUUUUAAGAGAAAAAAUUAAAGAGGAAGAAAUGACAACUCCCCAACCAGAUCGUAGUGAUUCUUGGGAAUAUCAUGAAGAACGAGAUAGUUCCUCCUCAUUGGAUGAACCUUUAUAUGCCAAUCAGGAGCAGACUUAUGGCAAUGUUUUCGAAUUGGCUUCCGGCAAUAAAGAUAUAUUAACACCACGUAAUGCUUUAAUCAAUAUAUCCGAAGAAGAUGAGUCAUUAGAUGAAUGCGAUAUGGGAGCAGUGGGCGGUGUACUUAGACCACCUAAGGAGAUUAUAGAAGAAUUUGAUCCUUUAUUAGCAAGGAAAACUUUAAAUUUAAGUAAAUCAGAUAAAAGUAAUCAACUUUUACUGCUGGAACAUCUUCUCGAAGAAGAUACCUAUGGCAGUGUUAAAGGAGAACAUUCCAAAUCUGAUGACGAUAUUAGUAUGUGUACUUCGGAGGAAGAUAAUCUACAAGCAGAACCUAAAACACCCAGUGUAAAAGUGCUGCCCACACCUUCUACACAAGCAUUAGAGCAGACCGCAACAUCAUCAUCAUCAUUACCAACCUCCUCCUCUUCUUCUAAACCUAUGCAAAUUGUACAUCAAAAUGCCCAGUUAUUGUCUGAUAGUAAAGAAAACAUCUUAGAUAAUGACUUUGAAGCUAGAGUUAAACCCUAUUUAAGUCGCUUAGAAGAAAAUCCCAUUACAUCAUCUAACGUAGAUUUAUCAAAGCCCUCACAAACACGCUCACAAUGGUUUGUGAGUGAAGAAACACAGCCAGGAAAUUCCGGCAAAAGAAGUAAUCCCUUUAAUAAAGAACAAAACAUUGAAGAUGGAGAAAGUCCUCCUUCUUACCUGGAAGCUAUUAGUGGUGCUAAUGAAAAGUCAACGGACUGUACACAAAAACAAAACACAAAUACUCGCACGGGUACUUCCCGUUUUAUGAAUAAUACAAUGAACGUUUUUUCCAAUGUUAAAAUACGCAUGGAUGCUUUAAAACGCAAAGCGAGUUUUAAGAAUCAACCUAAAUCCAGCGAAGUCAAGGUCACCCUACAAAUGGUACCACGUCCCAGUCUGUCCCCGUUAUUGGUACGCUAUGAGGGUCCUCUUAUACGUUUUCCCUCCGGUGUUGUUGAGGAUAUUCUAAAAGAAAUGCAAAAUCGUAAGGCCAUCUUAAGAGAUCGUCAAUUUCAGACAUAUCUCGAUCAGGAAAUGAAAACACCCAAAGAAGCCAUACCCUUGGAAUAUAUCACCACCAUACAAUGUGUCAGCAAUAGUAGAGUAACAGAUAAUUCAACACAUUUCUAUUGUUUCGAAAUAACUACUGCAGUGCCGAAAAAUGGUAAUUGUUCGUCUAAUCUACAUUUGUCAAAUCCUAAUUUAAUAAUGACUUCGGGUUCAUCGGGUAAUGUUAAGCAGCAGAGAAUUGCUCAUUUGUAUGGUGUGGGUAAAGAGUCGGAAAGGGGUAUUUGGAUGCAAAAACUUUUGGAAAGUUUAACGAACGCCAUACCCACCAAAUAUACAUGUCAUUAUUACAGAGCUGGUUGGUGUUAUUUGAAGAAUUCUAUAACUUCAGAAUGGAGUGGCACUUGGUUGGUAUUAAAGAAAACACAGAGACGUCUUAUAUUUGUAACUGAAGCAACUGGUAAUGUGGAAAAAAUGGAUCUAAGAAAAGCCCGUUGUAUAGUACUCAAAGAUAGCGAUGAUAGUGUAAAAAAUUUGCAUGUCGAAUCAGGACCCAUGCUUAUGAUAGAUGCGCCACCAUUUACUGUCUACAUGAUAAUGAGUUCUCCCCGAGAAACGAAAAUAUGGCGUCAUAUUAUUCGUGAAGUUGCACACAAUAACGGUUUUACUUUAGGUGAUCAACAGUUAACGAAAUUCAAUGUACCCGUUAUUGUUGACAAAUGUAUAAAUUUCGUUUACAUACAUGGUUCCAUGUCUGAGGGUAUAUAUCGAAAAUCAGGUUCAGAAAACUCUAUACUUAAACUAAUGUCAGCUUUUCGUUCGGAUGCUUUUAAUGUGGAAAUAACACGCAAUGAAUACAAUGAGCAUGAUGUGGCAAAUGUAUUGAAACGUUUUAUGCGUGAUUUGCCUGAACGUUUAAUGGGUAAAUUAUCGGAAAGUUUUAUAUGUGUAUCGGAACUAAAAACGGCUGCAGAAAAGAUAACACUGUAUAAAGAAUUAUUGGCUCGUUUAAGUAUAAUAGAACGUGAAACGCUAAAGAAAAUUGUUGGUCAUUUGGCAUUUAUAAGUUCGCAAAAGACAAAAAAUAAAAUGAGCAUACAAAACUUAACCAUGAUUUGGGGACCUACCCUAAUGCAAAGUCAUCAAACCGAGGAAAUGGUUUACUCACAAAAGGAGGCGGAUGUCCUGUGUGAUUUGAUAAAUUUAUAUAAGAAUUUAUUCCCCUUAUCGGCAGAUGAAAUUAAAAAAGAACAAGAAAUGUUAAUAUGUUUACAAAAAUACUAUGCCGCCGCUGAAACCUUAUCCGAUACAGUUAAAAAGUCAGGGGAUUUAAAAGUAUGGAUUACUCUUAAUCCAAAUCCAGAAAAUACCACAGAGGAAAAGACUCAGAUUAAUGUAACCAUUUCACCCACCAAAACAGCUUAUGAAGUUUGCCAAGAGUUAGCACCUAAAAUGAAACUCUCCACUCAUCAAGUCACACUACAUGAAGUCAUACUAAAUGGUACUUUAGAACGACCCUUACACCAUGACAGUAAAGUUUUUGAAGUUGUACUCAAUUGGUCAUAUUGGCCUGAAGAUGAUCGUAAAAAUAAUGUACUCGUCGUUAAACCUAUCGAAAUUCUCAAUGAAGUACAAAGAGCAGUGAAAAACUUAGCUACCGUAACACCGGGUAAAGAAUUGAAAUUUGCCGAUAAUAAAACAAAAUCAUUUAAAGCGUAUCAAUGUGAAUUGCGUGAUGGAAAGAUUGUUAUAUCGAAAAAGGAUAAAAACGAUAAGACUACAAUAAUAAGAGAAAUAUUCUUGCAUAACACUACUGCCUAUUUGGGUUGUGAGAAGAAAAGAGAUUUUCCCUGGAGUUGGGCCAUUACGUUUGUGGAAAAGACAAAAACUCAGAUUCUAAGAUCCCGAGACUCACCGUACAUAGGACAUGUUUUAGCUGGUUGUGAAUGGGUGGAUCGUACUAUUUGGUAUUCUAGCAUAUGGUACUGUUUAUAUGGCGACAGCAUAUUGCCACCAGCAGAAAUUAUUAUAAAAUAAGUUAAACAUUUUAAACACUAUACGUAACACAUCAUUAUUCACAUACAAAACAUGUCAUUUAAUUAAGUCAAUUUAAGGUGUUCAAAUUAAAUUUCCAAUAAUUGUUUGAAUGAAAAAAGUCUGGAACUUACUAUUUAAAAUUGCUUUUGUAUAUAGCACAUACAAUGUUUUAGUAUAUUUUUUAAAACAUGCUGAAAACUUUUUAUUU
rnacentral:misc_RNA from 1 species